UACGGAGGAUCCGAGCGUUAUCCGGAUUUAUUGGGUUUAAAGGGUGCGCAGGCGGGAGAUUAAGUCGGCGGUGAAAUUUUGCAGCUCAACUGUAAAAGUGCCUUCGAAACUGGUUUCCUUGAGUGUAGAUGAAGUAGGCGGAAUUUGUGGUGUAGCGGUGAAAUGCAUAGAUAUCACGAGGAACUCCGAUUGCGCAGGCAGCUUACUAAACUACUACUGACGCUCAGGCACGAAGGCGUGGGGAUCAAACAGGAUUAGAUACCCUGGUAGUCCACGCAGUAAACGAUGAUUACUAGCUGUUUGCGAUAUACAGUAAGCGGCUUAGCGAAAGCGUUAAGUAAUCCACCUGGGGAGUACGUUCGCAAGAAUGAA
rnacentral:rRNA from 1 species